rnacentral:rRNA from 1 species
CCGUACUUAGCCCCAAACAAACAAAAUACAACUAUAAAUUAAACCUAAGCCAAAACAUUUAGUAUUUUAACAGUAUAGGAGAUAGAAAAUUUUAUUGGCGCUAUAGAGAAAGUACCGCAAGGGAACAAUGAAAGAAAUUACUAAAGCAAUAAACAGCAAAGAUUACCCCUUGUACCUUUUGCAUAAUGAUUUAACUAGACAUACCUUAGCAAAGAGAACUUAAGUUAAUAUACCCGAAACCAGACGAGCUAUUUAUGAGCAGCUUCACAGAGCAAACUCAUCUAUGUGGCAAAAUAGUGAGAAGACUUAUAGAUAGAGGUGAAAAGCCUACCGAGCCUGGUGAUAGCUGGUUGUCCAAUAAAGAAUUUCAGUUCAAACUUAAGCCUACCCCAUAAAACACUAAUUCCACUGUAGACUUAAAGUAUAGUCUGAAGGGGGACAGCCCUCCAGACAAAGGUUAAACCUUAACUAGAGAGUAAGUACAUACAUAUAAUAUAGUGGGCCUAAAAGCAGCCAUCAAUAAAGAAAGCGUUCAAGCUCAACGACUCAAUUAUCUUAAUACCCAUAAUCACUACCAACUCCUAGUAUAUAAAUUGGACUACUCUAUACCUAUAUAGAGGAAAUACUGUUAAUAUGAGUAACAAGAAUUUAAUUCUCCCUAGCACAAGUGUAUAUCAGAACGAAUACUCACUGAUAGUUAACGAAUAUAAAGCAACACAACAAAAUAUAGCCCUUUAUCCAACCCACGUUAGCCCAACACAGGAGUGCCCCAUGGAAAGAUUAAAAGGAGUAAAAGGAACUCGGCAAAUAUAAACCCCGCCUGUUUACCAAAAACAUCACCUCUAGCAUCUCUAGUAUUAGAGGCACUGCCUGCCCAGUGACACACGUUCAACGGCCGCGGUAUCCUGACCGUGCAAAGGUAGCAUAAUCACUUGUUCUCUAAAUAAGGACUUGUAUGAAUGGCCACACGAGGGUUUUACUGUCUCUUUCUCCCAAUCAGUGAAAUUGACCUCCCCGUGAAGAGGCGGGGAUACAACAAUAAGACGAGAAGACCCUAUGGAGCUUUAAUUAACUAGCCUAAUAACAUAAUAACAAACCCCAAAAGGAAUAAAACACUGUAACACUAGGCUAACAAUUUAGGUUGGGGUGACCUCGGAGUAUAAAAGACCCUCCGAGCAAUUUCAAACUUAGACCUACUAGUCAAAGUCCAUUCACUCAAUUGAUCCAUACACCAAUGAUCAACGGAACAAGUUACCCUAGGGAUAACAGCGCAAUCCUAUUCAAGAGUCCCUAUCGACAAUAGGGUUUACGACCUCGAUGUUGGAUCAGGACAUCCUAAUGGUGCAGCAGCUAUUAAGGGUUCGUUUGUUCAACGAUUAAAGUCCUACGUGAUCUGAGUUCAGACCGGAGUAAUCCAGGUCGGUUUCUAUCUAUUUUACGUCUCUCCCAGUACGAAAGGACAAGAGAGACAGGGCCCCCUUAAAACAAGCGCCCUCUAACCAAACCAGAUGACUUAGUCUCAAUCUGCUAUGUAAUAAAUAAACAUGCCCAAGACCAGGGCCC